rnacentral:rRNA from 1 species
CCAGAGAACUUUCCAGAGAUGGAUUGGUGCCUUCGGGAACUCUGAGACAGGUGCUGCAUGGCUGUCGUCAGCUCGUGUUGUGAAAUGUUGGGUUAAGUCCCGCAACGAGCGCAACCCUUUAUCCUUUGUUGCCAGCGGUUAGGCCGGGAACUCAAAGGAGACUGCCAGUGAUAAACUGGAGGAAGGUGGGGAUGACGUCAAGUCAUCAUGGCCCUUACGAGUAGGGCUACACACGUGCUACAAUGGCGCAUACAAAGAGAAGCGACCUCGCGAGAGCAAGCGGACCUCAUAAAGUGCGUCGUAGUCCGGAUUGGAGUCUGCAACUCGACUCCAUGAAGUCGGAAUCGCUAGUAAUCGUGGAUCAGAAUGCCACGGUGAAUACGUUCCCGGGCCUUGUACACACCGCCCGUCACACCAUGGGAGUGGGUUGCAAAAGAAGUAGGUAGCUUAACCUUCGGGAGGGCGCUUACCACUUUGUGAUUCAUGACUGGGGUGAAGUCGUAACAAGGUAAGCGUAGUGCU